rnacentral:tRNA from 1 species
UAAAUAGCUGAAUCGGUAGAGCAUAAGGAUCUUAAUCUCAGGGCUGUGGGUUCAAGCCCCACACUGGGCAAAA